rnacentral:rRNA from 1 species
UGGGGAAUAUUGCACAAUGGGGGAAACCCUGAUGCAGCGACGCCGCGUGAGUGAAGACGGUCUUCGGAUUGUAAAGCUCUGUCUUCGGGGACGAUAAUGACGGUACCCGAGGAGGAAGCCACGGCUAACUACGUGCCAGCAGCCGCGGUAAUACGUAGGUGGCGAGCGUUGUCCGGAAUUACUGGGUGUAAAGGGAGCGCAGGCGGGGAGCCAAGUUGGAUGUGAAAUACCGCAGCUCAACUGCGGGGCUGCAUCCAAAACUGGUUCUCUUGAGUGAAGUAGAGGUAGGCGGAAUUCCUAGUGUAGCGGUGAAAUGCGUAGAUAUUAGGAGGAACACCAGUGGCGAAGGCGGCCUACUGGGCUUUAACUGACGCUGAGGCUCGAAAGCGUGGGGAGCAAACAGGAUUAGAUACCCCCGUAGUCC